rnacentral:rRNA from 1 species
CACGUAGGGGGCGAGCGUUGUCCGGAUUUAUUGGGCGUAAAGAGCUCGUAGGCGGCUCAGUAAGUCGGGUGUGAAAACUCCAGGCUCAACCUGGAGACGCCACCUGAUACUGCUGUGGCUAGAGUCCGGUAGGGGAGCAUGGAAUUCCUGGUGUAGCGGUGAAAUGCGCAGAUAUCAGGAGGAACACCGAUGGCGAAGGCAGCUUACUGGGCCGAAACUGACGCUGAGGAGCGAAAGCGUGGGGAGCGAACAGG